GUUUGAUUGCAAUAUUAAACUGAUAGUAUGUGUUUAUACCAAACAUAUAUCAGUGUUUUCACAUCUUAAUUGUUAAAGUUCAGAAAAUCAUUUUCCUUAUGGCUUAGUUUUCCUUUGACUAGAAAAAUAGUCUAUUGACCCAUUUUCCUGAACAUUCUAAAUACUAGAAAAUGCAAAAAAAAAUUCAGAAAAAUAUUUUAUGUGACAUAAACGAAGCAUUAAAUUUUAGUCUUAAAACUCAUAAAAAAUACAGUUUUUUCUUUAUAUUAUUU
rnacentral:misc_RNA from 1 species